UACGUAGGGUGCAAGCGUUAAUCGGAAUUACUGGGCGUAAAGCGUGCGCAGGCGGUUGUGCAAGACAGAUGUGAAAUCCCCGGGCUUAACCUGGGAAUUGCAUUUGUGACUGUACGGCUAGAGUGUGUCAGAGGGGGGUAGAAUUCCACGUGUAGCAGUGAAAUGCGUAGAGAUGUGGAGGAAUACCGGUGGCGAAGGCAGCCCCCUGGGAUAACACUGACGCUCAUGCACGAAAGCGUGGGGAGCAAACAGG
rnacentral:rRNA from 1 species